AAGGAACUCCCCUCACCUGGUUGUCUAGGUUACUAAUUAGUAAGGAACUCCCCUCACCUGGUUGUCUAGGUUACUAAUUAGUAAGGAACUCCCCUCACCUGGUUGUCUAGGUGUCAGUGAGGAACUCUCCUCACCUGGUUGUCUAGGUCUCAGUAAGGAACUCUCCUCACCUGGUUGUCUAGGUCUCAGUAAGGAACUCCCCUCACCUGGUUGUCUAGGUUACUAAUUAGUAAGGAACUCCCCUCACCUGGUUGUCAAGGUCUCAGUAAGGAACUCUCCUCACCUGGUUGUCUAGGUCUCAGUAAGGAACUCCCCUCACCUGGUUGUCUAGGUUACUAAUUAGUAAGGAACUCCCCUCACCUGGUUGUCAAGGUCUCAGUAAGGAACUCCCCUCACCUGGUUGUCUAGGUCUCAGUAAGGAACUCCCCUCACCUGGUUGUCUAGGUCUCAGUAAGGAACUCCCCUCACCUGGUUGUCUAGGUCUCAGUAAGGAACUCCCCUCACCUGGUUGUCUAGGUUACUAAUUAGUAAGGAACUCUCCUCACCUGGUUGUCUAGGUCUCAGUAAGGAACUCCCUUCACCUGGUUGUCUAGGUCUCAGUAAGGAACUCCCCUCACCUGGUUGUCUAGGUUACUAAUUAGUAAAGAACUCCCCUCACCUGGUUGUCCAGGUCUCAGUAAGGAACUCCCCUCACCUGGUUGUCUAGGUUACCAAUUAGUAAGGAACUCUCCUCACCUGGUUGUCAAGGUCUUAAUUGAAAGGAAAAAAC
rnacentral:lncRNA from 1 species